AUGGCUUGCUUUUUAUUUAGUAAAAUAAGCAAUUGAAUGGUUUCCUUGAUGAUGGGAAUAUCAUUUGCUUUGUUAUCUCCAAUCAUAUUCCCCUAGAAGCGAUUUCAAGGCUAUUUCAUUAAUAGUGCUUCAGAUUUAUUUUCCCUGUGUUGUGGUAUUUUCUACAACAAAAAUAGCCUGAUCUUCCUUUUGGCUAAACAGGAGAUAAAGAUUGUUCCCACCAAAAUCUAUUAGAGGUACCCAAGAGAUACAAAGUAAAUUUAUUAUGAUAAACAAUGUACAUUGUAUAAAAUAUAUGCAUCUUGCCCUUUCCUACAUUUGCUCCUCAGUAUUUGCCUGGGAGCAAAAGUAUAUAUUUAGAUUAGCAUUGGUAUAUUCUGUAUCACACCUGCACUAUUUCUGGCCCACCAAUAUAUUUCGGACGAAUGCUACUUUGUAUGCAUUCUGGUAUUUUCCAUUUUUGGGGUCCACCAAGUCAACUGCAAUCUAACAGCCUCAUAUGACACGUCACUGGGUGACUAUUUCAUUUCCACUCAAAUGAGUUUUCUCCUUUUCCUUUCUCAGUUGGGCUGGACAUUUAAGCAUAAAAAGGGAACUGUACCACUGAGAAAUUAGAUACAAAUUUGCAUGUACUAAUUGAUAUUUAUAUAUGCAAAUUUAGAAACAAUUACCAGAAUUUAAAUAGAAGCUAAUUAAUUUCCCAUCCAAAUGCCCCAUAUAAAUUCUUCAGUUAGUUUGCACCCCAGCACCAGAUCACUCCCAGACUCUUAGUUGGAAGUAAAUUAAUUAAAGAGAAUCUAUUUAGCACUCAGAUCCUGCUCCAAAAUAUUUUCCCCUUCAGUUAAUUACACUUACUCACGAGCCACUUUUAACCUCCUCUUAAAAAUUUUUAAAAAAUAAAAAAGAUGCCUACAUUUGUGAUUCUGUUUUUCUUUGUGUAUGUGUGCGUUUGGAGGGGGUAUUAUAAUGAGAAGGCAUGGCUAGUGUGCGGUGAUAACUUUUCUUCUUUUUAAUAAGUUUGACAAGCUAUAGGUCAGCUGCCUCUGUCAGCCUGCUGCCAAGCUGUGAGCUGAAACCCAAGAUGCCUCUGGAAAAUGAGAACAGGUGAUGGCAUAAUAGUGUUUCUAUUUCCAGGGAUGUUGCUUGUCAAAAAGAAAAAAGAAAAAGGCUGAAAGUAAAUACCUUAUCAUUCCAUUACUACCAAGUAUGUAUGUAUGUAUGUCUACGACCAGCACAGCAUAUUAAGAACAUAAAAUCAAUCAAGAAUACAGUUUAAAAUAUAUUCUAAAAAAUUAAACUAGACAAGAUUUACCAUCAUUAUUCCAUUAGGUACACUAAGGUAAAGGUAAGGGGACCCCUGACUAUUAGGUCCAGUCGUGACCGACUCUGGGGUUGUGGUGCUCAUCUUGCAUUAUUGGCCGAGGGAGCCGGCGUACAGCUUCCAGGUCAUGUGGCCAGCAUGACAAAGCCGCUUCUGGCGAACCAGAGCAGCACAUGGAAACGCCGUUUACUUAUUUAUUGCACUACAUAAAUUAAGGCAUCGGCAAAUCGGGUUCUUUUCUACCUCAGAUCAAGAAUUCAUUUGGGUGCCACCAAUUUGUGUGGACCGAAUCUUAAUAACGUUGGCACAAAAUUUUGCCACCACAGCUGUGACAAUUGGAUUGGAAUCUGAGAGAAGCCCAUUUUAUAUAGAAUUCUUCAGAGCAUCCUGGAAAAUCAACCAGUAUCGUAAAAAUACUCUGGUUUCUCUUCAGAUCGUAUAAAUCUUUCGCCUUUACUACCAAGUAUGCUUGGCGGUCAUUUAACUGUGGUGUGUUUUCCCCAAGUUUCUUAACUGAUUUCUGCAAUUUGAGAAUCUCCCUGAACAUGCUAAUGGUUUUUACUUUUCCCCAUGGUUCCAUCCUGGCAAAUUAUCUUUUGGCACUCAGCCUCUGUGUUUGUGGUGUGGUCUUGUAAUUCUCUGGGCUAUCCAAUCAGUCAUCUGAUUCAUUCCUUUUAGAAACAUGAUAAAUGACAGAUGGGUCAAAGUUUGGGAUGCUCACAACACACCACUCCUUCUAGCAAGAGGCAAAGUGAGGCGAUCAUUUCUGGCAGCAGAAUCCACAAGGGCAGCUGAAUUGGCUUCCAAGGAAUGUAUUCCACUGCUGCUGCUGCUGUCAACAGAGUGGCUACAAUGGCUGUGUUGUGCUCCUUGUGGAUCCUCCCCCUUCAAGAGAUGAAGUUGGGGGUGCUGUCCUCUAGGCCCUCCUGGUUUCUACACUCACCUUGUAUGCUUCAGAGUGGGCCCCCUUUCCCCCCACAACAGCAUUUGAGUCCCACUGAAUCUGUUAGGUAAGGUUGAUUACAUCAGGAACAAGGGGGGGGGGAAUUAAUCAUCACUCAAUCCCUUGUUCCCAAUGUAGAUUGCUAGUCUAAUGUCUUUUUAUACUCAUGGCAUGAUAUAGAGAGAUAAGCCGUAACAUAAGUUUGGAUUCACACACACCUCUUCACAAGAUCUUUAUUUUCCCCUUGUUCCCGAUGUAGUUCUUCACUCUUGUUCCUGAUGCGGAUCUUUAUUCCCCCUUUGUUCCUAAUUUAGGCCUUCACACACCCCUUCUUUCCUGAAGGGGAGGAUGCUAUUUGUGGUUUGCCUCAGGUGCCAAUAUGUCUUGGUCCGUUCCUGGUUAAAUGUAGUGGUUCAAAAUCAAAUAGUAACAGAAUGAACAUUUAUUUUUCAUGCUUGGUGGUAUUCACAGUAAAGAAGCAGGGGUUUUUUUUCCACAAGAGAGUAGUGCAAUUUUAAAACAAAAGAUUAACAGAAGAGAAUCAUGAUUAUAAAGCAUUUUAUGCAGCUCUCCCUUUUUCUUACUAGUAUAGUUCAGCUUAUUACAUUGCAAAUUCUUCUGAACAAAUGAGUGUCUUAUCCCUUGUUCCUGGGGGGGAGAAGUAGUAAGACUUUGAUGUUGUUUCCAAAUAUAGAAAUUACUUCUGUUUUAAAAUGCAGAUGAGAUUCCUUUCUUUCUUCCCCUGCCUUGCUACAGACUCUGCCUGUCAUAAUUGAAAUUUGAAUAUGACUCAUUCUUAAACUUGAUGGGUGUUUGGGUGGGGAGGAAAGUAACAGAAGAAGCAAAUAAUUAAAAGACCUCUCUGGAGAGAUGCUAUGCUCGCAAAUUAAAUAUUGUUUGAGUUAUGCUUGAAGAAAGAAAAGGAGAAGUUUUAAGGAUGGAAUAAUAACAAGGGAUGAGAGAAUGGUAGUUUCUGGUGCAAAUAACCACAAUGGAGCGAAGACAGAUGUAUGGAAUAAUAAAACACAUUUUGUUUUACAAGUAUGGUGUAAAACUUUGUUAUAGAUAAACUUGUUAUAACUUUUGUUUCUGAUGCAUCCAAACCAGCAAGCAAUGGAACACGAAAUCAUUUUCUAUGCCAAGGAAAUGUUUUAGUCUACAGUUUACCACAAUCUCCUGUGCAUGAAGUAUGAUAACAUUUGGAAAGAGUUUAUAUAGAAUGCAGUAGGCUAUUAACAUCUACACAAGUACAGUGAAACCUCAGUUUUUGAACAUCUUAGCUGCUGAACAUUUCAGAAGCCGAACACAGAAAACCCAGUUUUUGAAUGCGCCUCAGAAGUCGAACGGCUUCCAACAUGCAUUUCUCUUUUUUCCCCCAUUGACUUUACCGACAGACCUUCGAUCCUCGGUUUUUGAACAUUUCGGAAGUCGAACAGUCUUCCAGAAAAUAUUACAUUUGAAAACCGAGGUUCCACUAUUAGGAUAACAACACUAUAUCAAUUUAUAUAAUAAUGUAUAGGAGUAUCUUAUAUUGCAUUUGUGUGUGUGUAAUUUUUUUACACAUCUUUGGUUUUUCUUCCCCUCACUUACCUUCCUUUUUCUGUAUCACUUUUGUUGUUUAGUCAUUUAGUCGUGUCCGACUCUUUGUGACCCCAUGCAUAUAAUUGUUCGGGUUUUUUUCAGAGAGAGAGAAAGAGAGAGGGAGGGAGGGAGAGACAGCCAUCUGCUUAAAAAAAAAAAACUAUUUAAACUGCACUGUAUGUAUGUAUGCUUGUAUGUAUGUAUGCUUGUAUGUAUGUAUGCUUGUAUGUAUGUAUGCUUGUAUGUAUGUAUGUAUGUAUGUAUGCUUGUAUGUAUGUAUGUAUGCAUGCAUAAGAUAAUCCUUUACUUAUCCACCAACCCCCCGUUAGAAGCAUUAUUAUUACUCCAGGUUGUUGUUGUUUUUGCAAAAGCAGUUCUGGGUAUUUAGCAGAUACGGUAGCUAUGGUUCUACAUGCCAUAGGUGUUAACCAAUUGGCAUACUUGUUGCUCCAUACUACAAAACAUGCUCAACCAAUUCUUUCAGAUUUCACCCUCAGAUCAGAUACAUUUAUUUUUGUUUGGAUUACAGAUCCAGUUCUAUUAACUCACCUCUAUCACCCUAACAAAAAGGUUGCAUGACUUCAUUCUUAUAUAAUUUGCAGUGACACCACGGGCCUCUUUCUUCUUUACUGCUGCCACCAGCUAGAUAGAUUUACUUUUCUUUGGCUGCUUCCAUUAAAAUUGCUUCCAAAUUCUGGAUUUUUUUCAUCUGGUACAUCUCACUCCUGAUACUACAUAGACCUGGAACAACAAGGAUACCAAACAACACUCUGAAAUGACAGAGGCAUCACUAGGUGUUAACACAUUGUUAUGAGUGUAUGGAUGCCAGUCCUCUCUAAUCCCUGAAUCCAGUAAAUGUUCAAAUUUAAUCAAGUAUUGGGGUGUUAAGAUGAGUUCUUAGACACUUUUAAUCCCUGGAUUCAGCAAGUGUUAAAUGCUAAUAAAGCCAGGCUAGUCUCCUGAGUCAUGAGUCAUUAAGAGAACAAAGGAUCAAAGGGCUUAUGCUAGACAGCAACUGGGGAUGGGGCAGAAUUUAGAAUAGAGAGGUUAGGAGAGAUGUGACCUAGAAGGAAAGCAGAAAACUGGAGGGAGGGAGGGAGAGAGAGCAAAGUUAGUGAGCAAUGCUUGAUGUCUGUUUGAAUCCAAGGGUGUUGCUAUGGAAGAAAGUGUUAGGAUUCCUGCUCCGUGUUUGCAGUCAUGGGAUUGUUGUCUAUCACAUGACGGUGUAUGUUUUCAUUCCACAGAGUGGGAAGUGACGGAGACAGGAUGUUUUGGUAUUACUGUGUUCCGUGAAGUGGGACUAUUGUCCUUUGUUCUUUUUCUCUUUGCUGUCUGAUGAGAAAGAGGAAGGAGCUAAAGCAGAAUGCUCCAAAUGUAUUAUAUUAUAUGUAAAUAAAGUAGAUUAGCCAAGAUGCUGAGCUACUGAGUCUGUUACAUGAACCGUCAAUACUCUGCAGGAUCGUAAGUGUGCUGAUGCUUCCUAUCAGUCGCUGUGAUGUUUGGGCUGAAGAAAGCUUUUGAAGCUCCCGAAUGACAGACCAGGAGGGAAAGAACUUUUCAGUCGGGCACGUGUCUCUACCAGGGUCCUACACGAGAGUAGGAUGAUCCUAACAGAAACAAGACCCUUUUGGAGAGUUAAUGCUGUGAAACCCCUCCACCAUAGGCUCAGCUGAAAUAUAUAUGUAAAUAAACCAUAUAUCAUAAAGACAACACAGUCUCGGCUGUGCCACAUUUCCAAAAGGAAACACAAACUCUCGAUAAGUGCCUUGAACCACUGGAAUCUCACACCACUCAGAGAUUGGGGUGGCAUGCAACCAGUGCUUUUUUCUGGGUGUGUGUGCAGGGAUACGCAUACCCCUAAACAAUUUGUGGAUCUAAGUUUGGCCUCAUUGAGGGGCAGUAUUUCAAUAUGAGUAGGAAAAUGAGAGCAUUUUUUAAAGAAAAAAAGCACCGCAUGCAAUAAUGUUUUUAUUUAUUUAUUUAUUUAUUUAUUUAUUUAUUUAUUUAUUUAGAUCCAAGCCGCUUCAGUGGCAAGUGGUGCCCAUGCCAGCUAUGGGUGGUUUGCCAGCUACACUCCUCCCUGCACCAAGAUAGCUUAGCUAUGGCACUGUGUGCCUUGGAAAUAUUUCAGUUAAAUGACUGCAAUGUGUCAUGUUAUGCCUAUCCCUAAGAAUCUGCAAUGACUUCCUGCUAGCUGCUGCAUCCAAUUUACAUGCUGAGUUUGGUCUAUAAAAUUCUGUAUCAUCUAGGGCUCAACCCAUCUUGUGCCUUUAGAACUGUAAAUGAUGCUAGGCUCAUAGAUCUAUAGGCAUUUGUAACUAGUGGUGUGAGAAAUUGCAGCAGGGCCUUCUCUGUUGUAGCAUCCAGAUGUGAAAUUCCAUCCCUAUAGAGAUCCAUUUUAAUUUGUGUAUUGUUUUAGGAAGUGUGAAUUAGGUAAGUUAGCCUUUAAUUGCAAACCAAGUUCUCCCUGUUCACUACUUCAGAGCCCCAGUCAGUCAGAUGACUGAUGAAUGGUUAGACACCAUUCUGGCACCACAUUCAUAGCUGUAGAUCCUGGGUUCAAGCUUUUCAGACAGGGGAAAUGCAAAGCUUGAGAAAAACCAGGAUACAGGUGCCCAGCUACUGAAUAUUUUCUUGACUUUUCCACUUUCCCACAACUUUUUACAGAGAGCAUCUGAUAAUACUGAAUGACACCUUAGAACAGAAUGAGGAAAGGGCCAAGGGUUUCCACAUGACCAGCUGCUAUACUGCCAUCCACAGUGACGAUUCUAUGGAGUAAUAGACACGUGAAAGACUCUUCUGAAGGGAGAGAAAACUACAGGAGAAAUGGAGGCUGUAGGAAUAGAGAGACCUUUGCUUAUAGAAUCUUCAUGGAUGUCUAGAAAUAUGUUUCACCCAUCAUAUAGAGAAGCUCAUAGAGAUCAAGAAUUCCACAGUUUUCCAAGAAAAGUGGAGGUCUCACUAAAUUAAAAAGAAAGACAAUCUGCAGACUUUUCUCCUUAAGAUGCAGUAGUGAAGUGAAUGGGGGUCAACAGAAUGAAGAUGAAUCCCACUACAAUGGGGACAAUACGGUCAUUGUUAUGGUCCAGGAGUCAGCUUCACCUGAAGAGGGAGAAGGCAGAGCUACUCCAGCUGCAGCCAAUCAGCCUGCAAGAACACAGAGGAGAAGGUACUGAUUAGAACCAGCUGGGUUCAGCUUUCUCAACAGAGCUUCCAUCUCAGUCUACUGCUGGAAACAUCAUUUGUCUUUCCCUGCCUGACCGUGCUGCUUCUUGCUCCUCUUGGCCUUUGGAUUCCAUGCCCCCUUCUGACCUUCUGACUACGUGAAUUGCUGUUCGCCUGACCCUAGGACUGGACCUGACUUUGGAUACAGACUCUGCCUACAGACUUCACAACUGUAUGCAGAAAUCAUCAGAGAAGGCUCACUACAUUAUUUAUUGCGGAAGUAGGAACUCUACUCAAAUGCUAAUUGAGUCCAAAAAUAUGUUUAAAGUGCCUUCCACGAACACUGCUGGAUGCAUCCACCUAUGGUUUGGCAGGCUUAAUCCACUUUGGAAGGGCUGUCAUGUCUGCAGAUUUCAUCUACUUUGGCCAAAAGGGCGGGCCCCGAUGUCGAAAGCCUGAGUGUCCUCUUCGCCACCUCCUUCAUCAUCGUAAUGGAUGACGUUGUCUCGGAUGUCUUCUUUAGAGGUCAUGAGAGUGUCUUUUUUCUUCUGCCGCCUCAGCGCCACGUACAGCACCACGAUGACUAAGACAAGAAGAGAAUGCCAUUGUGGGAGAGAGAGGAGGGAAGAUCAACCUGCUGCUUCCAAUGUCAAUCUCUCAUGCACCUUCACUCAGACAUGGCCUAUUUGAGGUUCCAGAAUCAG